rnacentral:rRNA from 1 species
CAGCCGCCGCGGUAAUACCGGCGGCCCGAGUGGCGGUCACUAUUAUUGGGCUUAAAGCGUCCGUAGCCGGGUUGGGAAGUCCUCCGGGAAAUCUGGCCGCUUAACGGUCAGAAUGCCGGAGGAUACUCCCAGCCUAGGGAGCGGGAGAGGCCGAGGGGAUUCCCGGAGGAGGGGUGAAAUCCUAUAAUCCCGGGAGGACCAGCUGUGGCGAAGGCGCUCGGCUGGAACGCGUCCGACGGUGAGGGACGAAGGCCAGGGGAGCAAACCGGAUUAGAUACCCGGGUAGUCCUGGCUGUAAACGAUGCGGACUUUGUGUCGGACAAGCUAUGAGCUUGUCCGGUGCCGGAGGGAAACCGUUAAGUCCGCCGCCUGGGGAGUACGGCCGCAAGGCUGAAACUUAAAGGAAUUGGCGGG